CUACGGGACGCAGCAGUGGGGAAUAUUGCACAAUGGACGAAAGUCUGAUGCAGCAACGCCGCGUGGAGGAUGACACAUUUCGGUGCGUAAACUCCUUUUAUAUAAGAAGAUAAUGACGGUAUUAUAUGAAUAAGCACCGGCUAACUCCGUGCCAGCAGCCGCGGUAAUACGGGGGGUGCAAGCGUUACUCGGAAUCACUGGGCGUAAAGCGCAUGUAGGCGGGUUGAAAAGUCAGAAGUGAAAUCCUAUAGCUCAACUAUAGAACUGCUUCUGAAACUCUCAACCUAGAAUAUGGGAGAGGUAGAUGGAAUUUCUGGUGUAGGGGUAAAAUCCGUAGAGAUCAGAAGGAAUACCGAUUGCGAAGGCGAUCUACUGGAACAUUAUUGACGCUCAGAUGCGAAAGCGUGGGGAGCAAACAGGAUUAGAUACCCUCGUAGUC
rnacentral:rRNA from 1 species